UAGUCAUAUGCUUGUCUCAGAGAUUAAGCCAUGCAUGUCUAAGUAUAAGCAAUCUUAUACAGCGAAACUGCGAAUGGCUCAUUAAAUCAGUUAUAGUCUACUUGAUCGUAUCUUCUUACAUGGAUAACCGUAGUAAAUCUAGAGCUAAUACAUGCUAAAAAUCCUGGACGCGGCAACGCGGAAGGGACGAGUUUAUUAGAUUAAAAACCGACACCUCUCCGCGAGGGGAGGUAGCACAGGUGAUUCACAGUAACCGAUCGGAUCGUCGGCCCCGCCGACGACGAUGCAUACGAGUUUCUGCCCUAUCAACUUUAGAUGGUAGAGCAUCGGUCUACCAUGGUCGUAACGGGUGACGGGGGAUUAGGGUUCGAUUCCGGAGAGGGAGCCUGAGAAACGGCUACCACUUCCAAGGAAGGCAGCAGGCGCGCAAAUUACCCAAUCCCGACACGGGGAGGUAGUGACAAGAAAUACCAUUGUAAUGUCUCCUCGAGAGGCUUACGAUUGGAAUGAGUACAAUUUAAAUCCCUUAACGAGUAACGAUU
rnacentral:rRNA from 1 species